AUCAUAUAUCCUGUUACGGUUUAUAUUUAGAUGUUUCCCCCAGCCUCAUACAUUCAUCUGUGGGGCUUUGGAAAGGCCAGCUGGGUAUAGCUGGCUUGUCCUUGGGAACAAGUUCUAGUCUGAAGAGGCCUGCCACUGGGGCCGUGGCCUGGGAGGGUUUAUUACCCUACCUGGAUCCUCCCUAACUCUCUACUUCAUAAUCACCUUGCCAUGAGCAGCCUUGCUUUGCCAGACUCCCACCAUGCUGCUUCUCUUGGGAGCCACCAAGCGUGCAGGACCGAAAGUCCUAACAUGUGAGCCAAAUAAACCUCCCCUCUUGCAAGCUGUGAAUAUCGGGUAUUGUAUCUGAGCAACAAGGAGAGUGAUUUAGGCAAAUACUAAAAAAAUUCCUUUAUUUUUCAAUAACAGAACUCAGUUCUUAUGUCCCACUUCUAUUGGUGACAGAAAACAUAGUCUUACCACAUCAAGAGGGAUGGGUAACAAACUCAGAAGCUGGGCUCUUCUGCCAUGUUAAAUCCAUCUGCAUAGAACAUCCCACCUCUGCUGCUACUCUGAUCAGCGUUGUUGUCAACCCUGAGCCGGCUGCUGCUCUGCUACCCUGGAAGAUGCAAACCGGUACAACAACACAGAGGAAUUCACAGAGGGAGCCAAGUUUAAUGCAAGCAAGAACUAGCAGGAUGUACUGGAGACUUAAGCUGAGAUAUGUGCAAGUGGUUUCUGAUUGAAUAUUUGUUUAAAUUUAGGGAAGUUAAAAGACUGAACAAUUAAAAUACAACCGCCAUUAGACAGUCAAUAGGAUUUGGAUUUGUGUUUUUUAAAAGAUGCUAUUAGUGUUAGUAAUGGAACCGAGAAAACACAAGCUGAAUGGAAAAUUGAUAGACAGCUCCCAUAAAGACCAGCGCUUUAAAAGAGCACCCUGAAAGAGAUUUUGUGGGGAGAAUGAGCCAGACGUUUCUGAAGAACAAUUUUAAAGUAUUUUGAGCCUUUGGAGAGACUGAAAAUAUUGAACAUCUAUCUCAUGGCUAUAGAAACAAAUGAAAGGAGACGAUUUUUGUCUCACCAUGUGUACCAGUGGUGGUGAAACUAUGGCACGUAUGUCACAGUGGGCACACAGAGACCUCUCUGUUGGCACGAGAGCCACUUUGCCUCAGCAGCCAAGCAUCAGAUGAUGGUUGUUUUUUCUAAACUAAAACCUCGGUAUUCACAUUUAAGUAUAAGUCUUGGCACUUUUUGAUAAUAAGUAGGUUUUGGGUUGCAGCUUGGGUACUAGGUCUGUAAAAGUAUCACCAUCACUGAUGCAUACCGAUAAAGAGCCAGUAAAGACAUUGUUAGAAAGCAGAUAUCAUCAAAUUGAUUCUAUGAAGUGUGAAAUCAAAAUUUCAUAACCCAAAGAGGUAUUUAGGCAGCAACAACAACUCGAAGGAGGAAAAAGUGCUGUAGGGGGUGAAGGAGGUGAUACUAGGGGUGAUGGCAGAAGUCGAGGCCAAAGCUGGGACCAAGAAUUUAAUAACUGUUACAAUUAUGAAAAUUAUUAAGGGUACAGAAGUUACAACAGGACCUAGAGUGGAUGAUCAAAUCUAUUUGGCUAUGUAAGAUAUGAUUAUACUGGGCAUAACUGGGAACUAUGGCUGUGAACACGAGGGAUAUGCAGGUUACAGAGGCCAACAGAGCAUGUACAGUAAAGCAUUGAUAGGACUGGCAAGUACCAAAGUAACCACCAGUCACACUAAAGAAGGGGCAUUGGGGAAAAUAAGAGAUGCUAACAAAACCCACCUUAAGGAUGACACUGAAGACUGGUCUCCUUUUGAUCUAAAACACUUCCCAGUGUAUAAGACACUACUAUGUCCAGCUGGGUAUAGCCAACAUGUAGUUCACUUUGCUUUUACUUUGUUCUUCAUAUCUGUGUUAUGACUCAGUGUGUGGUUCCAUUUUUAUAAAAUUUAUUUAUAUGACUUCUUCUUAAACCUAAGGAAGUGUUCUUAUAAAACAGAUUUCUGAAAUUAUUUUCUGUGUAUUCUAAGAUUGAAUAAAUAGUAGAUAAAAGAUGUAUAAUA